rnacentral:rRNA from 1 species
CGAACUCUGGUAUUGAUUGGUGCUUGCAUCAUGAUUUACAUUUGAGUGAGUGGCGAACUGGUGAGUAACACGUGGGAAACCUGCCCAGAAGCGGGGGAUAACACCUGGAAACAGAUGCUAAUACCGCAUAACAACUUGGACCGCAUGGUCCGAGUUUGAAAGAUGGCUUCGGCUAUCACUUUUGGAUGGUCCCGCGGCGUAUUAGCUAGAUGGUGGGGUAACGGCUCACCAUGGCAAUGAUACGUAGCCGACCUGAGAGGGUAAUCGGCCACAUUGGGACUGAGACACGGCCCAAACUCCUACGGGAGGCAGCAGUAGGGAAUCUUCCACAAUGGACGAAAGUCUGAUGGAGCAACGCCGCGUGAGUGAAGAAGGGUUUCGGCUCGUAAAACUCUGUUGUUAAAGAAGAACAUAUCUGAGAGUAACUGUUCAGGUAUUGACGGUAUUUAACCAGAAAGCCACGGCUAACUACGUGCCAGCAGCCGCGGUAAUACGUAGGUGGCAAGCGUUGUCCCGGAUUUAUUGGGCGUAAAGCGAGCGCAGGCGGUUUUUUAAGUCUGAUGUGAAAGCCUUCGGCUCAACCGAAGAAGUGCAUCGGAAACUGGGAAACUUGAGUGCAGAAGAGGACAGUGGAACUCCAUGUGUAGCGGUGAAAUGCGUAGAUAUAUGGAAGAACACCAGUGGCGAAGGCGGCUGUCUGGUCUGUAACUGACGCUGAGGCUCGAAAGUAUGGGUAGCAAACAGGAUUAGAUACCCUGGUAGUCCAUACCGUAAACGAUGAAUGCUAAGUGUUGGAGGGUUUCCGCCCUUCAGUGCUGCAGCUAACGCAUUAAGCAUUCCGCCUGGGGAGUACGGCCGCAAGGCUGAAACUCAAAGGAAUUGACGGGGGCCCGCACAAGCGGUGGAGCAUGUGGUUUAAUUCGAAGCUACGCGAAGAACCUUACCAGGUCUUGACAUACUAUGCAAAUCUAAGAGAUUAGACGUUCCCUUCGGGGACAUGGAUACAGGUGGUGCAUGGUUGUCGUCAGCUCGUGUCGUGAGAUGUUGGGUUAAGUCCCGCAACGAGCGCAACCCUUAUUAUCAGUUGCCAGCAUUAAGUUGGGCACUCUGGUGAGACUGCCGGUGACAAACCGGAGGAAGGUGGGGAUGACGUCAAAUCAUCAUGCCCCUUAUGACCUGGGCUACACACGUGCUACAAUGGAUGGUACAACGAGUUGCGAACUCGCGAGAGUAAGCUAAUCUCUUAAAGCCAUUCUCAGUUCGGAUUGUAGGCUGCAACUCGCCUACAUGAAGUCGGAAUCGCUAGUAAUCGCGGAUCAGCAUGCCGCGGUGAAUACGUUCCCGGGCCUUGUACACACCGCCCGUCACACCAUGAGAGUUUGUAACACCCAAAGUCGGUGGGGUAACCUUUUAGGAACCAGCCGCCU